rnacentral:misc_RNA from 1 species
GGAAUUUAUUAUACUAUUUUUUGUUCCUGCUUUCGAGUCUUUUAAACUCCCUUGGAGUUGCAUAAUGACAAAUGAGGAUAGCUGAUAGUGCUUUGUAAACCAUCCAUCUCAUAUUAACAUGAUAAUUAUACCAUAUCAAACAAUUUCUUGCUCUAAAAUCAAAUCUUAAGAUAGUCUAGUAGUCCAGUUUCAUUGGAUUAUUAAUCUGGUAGUUGUAUGUAUCUCCUCCUCUUGCUGUUGUAAGAACUAGUUUUAGUCAAGAAAAGAGUUUUCAAUUUUGUUUCAGUACAAUUUUCCAUGGCUGCAUCUACUAUCUACAACCCCAAAAAGGAAAAACCAUUUCUUCCUUAGUUUCAGAGACAGAAAAAAAAAAAGAUAUAUAUAA